rnacentral:rRNA from 1 species
GACGGGGGGGGCUAGCGUUGCUCGGAAUCACUGGGCGUAAAGCGCACGUAGGCGGUCUGUUGCGUCCGCUGUGAAAACUCGGGGCUUAACCCCGAGCCUGCAGUGGAUACGGGCAGACUAGAGGUAGGUAGGGGAGAAUGGAAUUCCCGGUGUAGCGGUGAAAUGCGCAGAUAUCGGGAGGAACACCGGUGGCGAAGGCGGUUCUCUGGGCCUUACCUGACGCUGAGGAGCGAAAGCGUGGGGAGCGAACAGG